GCCUUUCGCCUAUUGUCUCACUGCUGAAGAGUCGUCUGGAAGUUCUUGCUUCAACAGUGAUUGAACGGAACUUCUUUCGUCCCUUUUUUUGCCUUGGCACCAACUCGCUUUCACUUCGACAACAGAAUACCUCCACGCAUAGCUCUAUUUUUUGUACUUUCUUUUGGUUUUUGUAAGAAAAGACAAAACACGCCAGCUAAGAUGGAGUCUCAAGUGCGUCAGAACUACCACCGCGAAUGCGAGGCCGCCAUUAACCGAAUGGUCAACAUGGAGCUUUUCGCUUCCUACACCUACACUUCAAUGGCCUUUUACUUCUCCCGAGAUGACAUUGCCCUCCCAGGCUUUGCCCAUUUCUUCAAGGAGAACAGUGAAGAGGAGAGGGAGCACGCUGACAAGUUGCUGGACUUCCAGAACAAAAGAGGUGGCCGCAUCUUCCUCCAGGAUGUCAAGAAACCAGAGCGUGAUGAGUGGGGGAGUGGACUUGAGGCGAUGCAGUCUGCCCUACAGCUGGAGAAAAAUGUUAAUCAGGCUCUCCUGGACCUGCACAAAUUGGCAUCUGAACAUGUGGAUCCCCAUCUGUGCGACUUCUUGGAAAGCCACUACCUGAACGAGCAGGUGGAGGCCAUCAAGAAGUUGGGAGACUACAUCAGCAAUUUGAGCCGCAUGGAUGCCCAAAACAACAAGAUGGCCGAGUACCUGUUUGACAAGCACACUCUGGGGGGCAAGAGCUAAAGUUUUCAAAGUGUGCCGUCAAAAUGGGCCUCAACGUUCGCAUUCUCUAAGCAAUCAGUUUAAUUUUGGUUAACGUAUAGCACGUGUUGUGGGGUUUGCGUGGGAUAAUGGUGACGCUGUUGCAAAGAAAUGUUGUAUUCUGAAUAAACAGAUUUGAGCUGGAA